CCAAAGUAAAAGAGCAGAGAAUACCAGGUUUGCAGAUUGAGGGUCUAAUGCUGUUCGUGAACUCUCUCUCACCGGACGGAUAAACAUCAGUCUGGACCUCCUCGUGCUGUAUCAACACUGGCUGACAGCCGCGUGCAUUCCACUGCGGCUCUGGAUGCGUUCCAGUCUGCUAUCACUUGGGAAUCAGUGUAGGCUGCCGCCUUACGCG